UUGUUCACUGUCCCUCCACUUGUCACAGCGCCACUUAGCGUGCUCUGUCUAGACUGCCUCACAAGGCUGGGCACGGUGGCUUACACCUGUAAUCCCAGCAUUUUGAAAGGCUGAGGUGGGUGGAUCACUUGAGGCCAGGAGUUUGAGGCUAGCCUGGCCAACAUGGUGAAACCCCAUCUCUACUAAAAAUACAAAAAAUAGCUGGGUGUUGUGGCACAUGCCUAUAAUUCCAGCUACUUGGGAGGCUGAGGCAAGAGAAUCACUGGAACCCAGGAGGUGGGGUUUGCAGUGAGCUGAGAUUGUGCCACUGCACAAGAGUGUGACAGUGUGAGACUGUUGCAAAAAAAUUUUUGUAAUAAAAAUAAAAAACUGAAUCACAAAAACUGAGAGCCCAGGACAGGGAAGGUGUAGUUGAGCAGAUGCCCUGUGGAAACGCCACAGGUGUGACUCAGCCGUGGACACAGUGAAAGUGGGUGCUACCCACAACCAUUCCCAAAGCUUGAAUCUAUAAACCCCGGACUCCUGAGCCACCAAUUUGAACAUCCACGUAUUUAUGUCAAAGCGUCCUUCCCUUUUCCGGUUGAGCUACAACACAAAUUCAAGACUCCUGGCCAUUUCCAUACACCCUCUGCUUCGGAGACAUUAUUAAGCUACUUAUAAUUAGGAAUAAUAACGCCUGCAGAUGCAUUUUAAUGUAGCCCACAAAAGGAGCUGUGUGGGUUUCUUUGUCACCCCACACUAAAGCAAACAACUCUUCCCCUGUUGCCUAGAUCCAACUGCUUCACUUUCCAAUAGCUGCUCGACAGAUGAGGGACCUGCUGACAGGCAGGUCAGAGUGAGCUGAACAACUCCCAGGCACAAAGGACAAAAGGAUCCGAAACGUGGAGGGACUCACUGGAGGUCCCCGGCAGCUGGCUGAAUUGUCUGGCUCUACACGCCCAUAUUCAGCAGACAUGUACAAACACACAUUUAAGGAAGAGGAUGAGGAGUGAGGAAACUAAGACCCUAAUGUCACACAGCGGAGCUGAAACAAUUCCAGGACUGAGGAUGCGCCAGACCUCAUCCAGGUGUGCAGGUAGGAAGAGGUUGCACACAGACUGCGGCUGGAACAAUGAGUGAUGUCACUGCCGAACAGCUGUGUAGAGAAACCGGAUCAUCCUCCAACCUUCAGUUCCAUAUCUACACAACGGAGGGGAAAAACCUACAUCUCAGAGAGACUGUGACACUCAGGUGAAUUAAUGGAUUUAACUGUAAAGACCUACACAGACGUGCAAAAGUAUAAUUAUGUCAUUCCAUGUCCUUCAACACAAGAUCAAGUAAUAAAUUCCCUCUGCAAUUUAAUUCUAGAAAAAAA
rnacentral:lncRNA from 13 species